AUUAUUAAUAUAGAUAGGUUGUGGAACUUUCCAAAAGUAAGUAUCUUCUAACAAGUUCUUGACAAGCCAAUCCCCCUCACACGUAUGUGAAGAUUUUUCUGAGCGCAGAUCAUGGAAGGUGUCUCCGAAGCGAGUUUCCUUGCAAUUGUGACAGUCGCUGUACUUUGGCUUUGGUUGCUUCCUAGCCGAACUCUUGCCUCAGUGCGCAAGAUUAACUGUUAUAUUUGUUCGAUGUUAUACGUAGGCAAGGAACCCCAGGCCACUGUACAUACAGCAGGCACACAGUCUAACAACGACGCACCUGGAAUCCAUGGGUACAUUAUAUGCAGCAUUGUUGUAACAGAUCGAAUUGAAGGACGUGCAGAAGCGAAGAAAGCGAGAUACACGUUAAUGCGAUUAUAUCAAAACAUUGUGGCCGUAAUUCCAAAUAUUGC